rfam:Pseudoalteromonas lipolytica SCSIO 04301 genomic scaffold Scaffold2, whole genome shotgun sequence.
GUCCCCAUCGUCUAGAGGCCUAGGACACCGCCCUUUCACGGCGGUAACAGGGGUUCGAAUCCCCUUGGGGACG